UACAGAGGUCUCAAGCGUUGUUCGGAUUCAUUGGGCGUAAAGGGCUCGUAGGCGGCCAACUAAGUCAUACGUGAAAUCCCUCGGCUUAACCGGGGAACUGCGUCUGAUACUGGAUGGCUUGAGUUUGGGAGAGGGAUGCGGAAUUCCAGGUGUAGCGGUGAAAUGCGUAGAUAUCUGGAGGAACACCGGUGGCGAAGGCGGCAUCCUGGACCAACACUGACGCUGAGUGAGCGAAAGCCAGGGGAGCAAACGGG
rnacentral:rRNA from 1 species